GACGAACGCUGGCGGCGUGCUUAACACAUGCAAGUCGAGCGGAAAGGCCCUUCGGGGUACUCGAGCGGCGAACGGGUGAGUAACACGUGAGUAACCUGCCCCAGACUUUGGGAUAACCCUCGGAAACGGGGGCUAAUACCGGAUACGACACAGCUUCGCAUGGGGUCUGUGUGGAAAGUUUUUCGGUUUGGGAUGGGCUCGCGGCCUAUCAGCUUGUUGGUGGGGUGAUGGCCUACCAAGGCGACGACGGGUAGCCGGCCUGAGAGGGCGACCGGCCACACUGGGACUGAGACACGGCCCAGACUCCUACGGGAGGCAGAAGUGGGGAAUAUUGCACAAUGGGCGGAAGCCUGAUGCAGCGACGCCGCGUGAGGGAUGACGGCCUUCGGGUUGUAAACCUCUUUCAGCAGGGACGAAGCGUAAGUGACGGUACCUGCAGAAGAAGCGCCGGCCAACUACGUG
rnacentral:rRNA from 1 species